rnacentral:lncRNA from 1 species
ACAAGAAAAGAAUGCUGCAACGUCUCUCACUCUCUCUUGCUCGAUUUUUCUCCCUCUCUUCCCUUCUCUAUUCGUCGCCUCUCUCUUCCUCCACAUGAAGCACGCCGUCGAAGACGUCUCUGUGCCAGCGGAGAACAUGUCGUAGACAACUGCUCGCGGGUUCCUCAUCAGCUCCGCCAUCGCCCAGUCCAUCGCCGUCGACUGCUGCUGUUCUGGAGUUGGCCGCCGACUGCUGCUGUUCGUCGAGGAGUCCGUGACUGCUGCUGUUCGUCGAGGAGUCCGCUGACUGCUGCUGUUCGUCGAGGAGUCGCGGCUGUUGCUGCCGACAGAGGCCAUCUCGCCGUUUGGUGCCGCCGCCGUCGGCUGCCGCUGCCUCGCCCAAAACUGACUCCCGGAGUCGCCGUUCGUCGUAGCGAAGGUCUCGGCAGUUCGUCAUCUUCCCCGUUCGAAUUUGCUGAAGGACACGAAGAGGAGCCCAAAUUCUUCUCUCUUGAUUUGGGUCUCGAUCCGCCGCUGCCUCUACUCCGGUGGGUCGCCGUUCUUCAGUCUGGAGUCCGGCGAGGCAGCAUUCGACCGUCGUCGUUAACUUCGUCAUCUCGGCUCGACCGAACAGAACAGUCGGCCUCAGUUCCUGAGCAGGGCAGUAGCCCCGCUCCCUCUCAAUCAAGCUAAGUUAUAUCCUUGACUCGUCUUCUUCCUACCAUGUCUGAGUAUCGAUAAGCUUAAGCUUCUAUGAGUAAGAAAGAAUCAGGGUUUAACACUCUGUCAGUGAGCAUGCUAUCGCUAUCCUUGUUCGUUCAUUCAUGUGCUAUGUGUGAGGUCUCAUGGUUUGUGUUCUAGAGUGCAGUGGCAGUAUACACAUAAGUCUUUCUAUUGCUAUACAUAACAUGGACUGUUUGAUGUAGUGGUAAAACAUGAUUAUGCUCUUGGUAUGAAUGCAACUCGAUUGGAUAACUGAGGUAGUAUAAAUACCUUGAAUGAUGCUUGCUUUGGUGUUUGUUGGCUGUUGUGGUUGGAUUAAAUGAAGCAGCAGAUCGAACUGAAAUAAUAAAGUUGUUCUUGCAUUAAUGCAGGUGGAAUAAGGGAAGAAGGUGGAGCAUUGAAGACAAGCUUACCUUGAGAAUACUUGGUAGGAUGAAUUAAAGGCUCACUUCUCCUUGUGCAGUCCUCAAAUGAAGAAUGAAGAGAAUGCAACAAUGUUGGCUGUUUUGAAUGACGAGGUGGUUUGGCUGGGAGCUUGUAUACAUGGGAGGAGGUACAUUCUAGGGUGGCUGAUUGACAUAUUUAGGUGUACUUGGGCAUGGCAGCCUGCUGCAUAGGCGUGGGAAAAAAAAGGUGCAGCAAGCUCAAGAGGG